rnacentral:rRNA from 1 species
CACGGCCCAGACUCCUACGGGAGGCAGCAGUGGGGAAUAUUGCGCAAUGGACGAAAGUCUGACGCAGCAACGCCGCGUGAGGGAUGACGGCCUUCGGGUUGUAAACCUCUUUCAGCAGGGACGAAGCGAGAGUGACGGUACCUGCAGAAGAAGGACCGGCCAACUACGUGCCAGCAGCCGCGGUAAUACGUAGGGUCCGAGCGUUGUCCGGAAUUAUUGGGCGUAAAGGGCUCGUAGGCGGUUCGUCACGUCGGGAGUGAAAWCUCGGGGCUUAACCCCGAGCCUGCUUCCGAUACGGGCAGACUAGAGGUAGGCAGGGGAGAGCGGAACUCCUGGUGUAGCGGUGGAAUGCGCAGAUAUCAGGAAGAACACCGGUGGCGAAGGCGGCUCUCUGGGCCUUACCUGACGCUGAGGAGCGAAAGCGUGGGUAGCGAACAGGAUUAGAUACCCUGGUAGUCCACGCCGUAAACGUUGGGCGCUAGGUGUGGGGGACAUUCCACGUCCUCCGUGCCGCAGCUAACGCAUUAAGCGCCCCGCCUGGGGAGUACGGCCGCAAGGCUAAAACUCAAAGGAAUUGACGGGGGCCCGCACAAGCGGC